GAUUCGAUAGUCUAAAGGUUUAGGACGCUCGCACGGAAUGCAAGAGAUCCGGGUUCGACUCCCGGUCGAGAUA
rnacentral:tRNA from 1 species